rnacentral:rRNA from 1 species
AUGGAGGCUCUCAGCUCCAGCCGCUUCUCUAGCGCUUUCCCCAGCCUCCUCGACCACGUCCCCAAGGCGCCGAAGCCCCCGCGCCACGGCCGCCGUCGUUGUCUCCAGACGCUAGCCUCCGCGCCCGCCGAUGCCGCCGCGCCGUGUCCCUCGUCCUCGCCGCCGCUCUACCGGAUCCUGGCCGCCGCGCUGAGGGGAGGGCGCGCGCGGGGGGAGCUGCCCGACCUGGCUGCGGCAGGAGGAGGAGGCGGGGCGGGGAUAGGGACGCUGCUGAUGAGCACGACGGCGGCGGCGGUGACCAAGGCGCGGGAGAGCCCGUACCUGCUGGCGCUUGCGGCGAACCCGACGUUCGUGUCGGGGAUGGUGGCGUUCGCGGUGGCGCAGGCCGCCAAGGCCCUGCUCACCUCCGUGGUGGAGCGGCGGUGGAGCCUGCGGACGCUGUGCAGCUCCGGGGGCAUGCCCUCCUCGCACUCCGCGCUCUGCACCGCGCUCACCGCCUCCGUCGCGCUCUGCCACGGCGUCGGCGACGCGCUCUUCCCCGUCUGCCUCGGCUUCAGCCUCAUCGUCAUGUACGACGCCACCGGCGUCCGGCGCCACGCCGGGAUGCAGGCCGAGGUACUCAAUAAGAUCGUUGAGGACCUGUUCCAGGGCCACCCGAUCAGCGAAAGGAAGCUCAAGGAGCUGUUAGGGCACACCCCGUCGCAAGUCUUCGCCGGCGCAUUUCUGGGCAUCUUGGUGGCCUGGUUCUGCUGCCAGGGUUGUAUCGGUGCCAUCUGA